rnacentral:rRNA from 1 species
GACGAACGCUGGCGGCGUGGAUUAGGCAUGCAAGUCGAACGGUAUCAUCCUUUCGGGGGUGAGAGAGUGGCGAACUGGUGAGUAACACGUAGGUUAUCUACCCUCAAGACGGGGACAACCCAGGGAAACUUGGGCUAAUACCGGAUGUGAGCAACUUUUAGUUGUUUGAAAGGUGGCGUAAGCUGUCGCUUGGGGAUGAGCCUGCGUCCUAUUAGUUAGUUGGUGAGGUAACGGCUCACCUAGGCAAUGAUAGGUAGGCGGCCUUAACGGGUGGUCGCCCACACUGGGAUUGAGAUACGGCCCAGACUCCUACGGGAGGCAGCAGUCGAGAAUAGUCUACAAUGGUCGGAAGACUGAUAGUGCGACGCCGCGUGAACGAUGAAUCCCUUCGGGGUGUAAAGUUCUUUUAUAUGUGAGCAGUGCUUCUUAUAUUAACAGUAUGGGGAAGAGAUAUUAGCAUAUGAAUAAGCAACGGCUAACUCCGUGCCAGCAGCCGCGGUAAA